ensembl:lncRNA
GUUGAGUUAUACAUUUUUAUUUUCUAAGAGGUACAAUACUAAAAUAAACACAAAUUAAAAAAAAGUUUUAUUAAAACAAAACUGUACAAAAAAGCAGUUAUACUACAUUUUAAUUACAGAACAGUCUACUGUCCAAAAGGCACUAAUCCAGAAUAGGAGAUACAAUGAUACAGGACUCAUUUUAACUAUUUUAAUCAAUACAAUAGAGCACUUGUUUCUCUGUCCAUUCACAUACAGAAACAAGGACUUUUGCUACAGUCAUUACACACUGUUAUAAAUAUGAGCCCUACAUGGAAAGUGUCAUACACAGAAGACAAAGACAGGCAUCUGGAUGUUAACAAAAAUAAGUAACAAAGAAAUAUGAUUAAACAAAAUCUCUUCUCACAUCAUCCUAUACUACAUCCUCCUUCUGCUUAGCAGAAAAUUGUACGUACACAAAAAUACAAAUACACAAUUUUGUAGAACAGUCUGAUUUUAAUAUAUUUAUAUAUAUUUAUAUUUAUAUGAGUGGCAGGUUAGUUCAUUAUAUAGAGCUUUUUGCACUUUUGGCUCAUACGCAACAAGGCUUUAUAAAUUCAGCUUUAGCUUUCAUUCAGGUUUUAUAGCUUCUUGAACAUUUGUUUUCACAUUUAAAGCAGCAUCCAAUUUGCAAGAGGAGUUGGUGGUGGCUACAGCAAGGAUCAGGUCACGAGGUUAUUUGGGGUGAGGGGAGAAUAUACAUUCCAGUGUGUGCGCGCGCUAGUGCUCAUGUAAAAAAGAACAGAGAGUGAAGGUGUGACUCCAGGAUACCAUGUUUACCUCUUGAGGUAGGCACAACACCUACAGCAGAUGAGACACGGGUGCGACUCGCGGCGGGGCACAUGGUGUGAGGAAUGAGGCCAUGGGUGGAGGCAGCGGCAAAGGGACGGACCCACGGGAGCGCUGGGAGCCGUGGGACCAGCAGAGCUGGCACAGCUCAUCCCGACUGACUGAUGCGUGUGGAGACGUGGGGAGGAAUUGCAGGGCACUGCAGCUGCCCCGCACGCAUGAGACCACGACAACUCAUGUUCACCAGAGUGCUCUGAGGCACACAGCUGGCCCGGCACUCCCAUCCCAACGUGACGGCGGAACAAAACGAGGGUGCACAAAACCCCAAAAUGGAAACCCCAACCCUUAGCACAUCACAGACAGCCUGGGGACUUUGCUUUCCUCACCCUCCUUCUGUGCCCCCCGUACUGUUCCGUUGCCUUUUCACUUCUGGGUUGGACACAGUCGCUGCUAAGCUCUUUUCAAUGACAACCACCAUUAUCGACAAUCACUUCGUUUAGGAAAAAAAUCACAGUUAAAAAAAGGCAUCUCUGGAGCAGGGGGACAGCACGACAUCCAACGGUCUGCGUGUACUACGGGCUCCACAAGCACUUUGUUCUCAUCAGCACUCCAGCAAUAGAUUCUCCUUUGAUCAUUGCUUAGACCAACACCCAUCGACAUCCUACAAGCUCCCUUUCCAUUCUCUGCAGAAGAGAUAUCCUUACAGCUUCUCUUGCCAAAUUUCCUAGGCUUUCCCAACUCACAUGUAAUUAAGUCGUCACGGUGAAAACAACACUUAGUUACUCAUGAAAAAUAAAACAUCUAUGUAUGGGUUGCUUUCAUUUUCGGAACCCUCCAGUGGUACCAACACACCUUACCAGCGUUCCCUUAUUUUAUUUCCUUUUGCUAUGGUCAGAAGAAAUUCUUAAAUGCAACUUUUUAAACUAGUAUUGAUAUCUUUUGUUUUACGCACUUAAAAUUCUCGUUUUUACAAGGUUAUAACCACCUGCCAAUCAUUACAUUAUUUUGACAAAAUGUUUAGCAGGUGCCACUCUAACGAGCCUAGAAAUAAUUAAGAAUAAAGGAAGAAACCACCUCUGUGAUUCCAAGAAGGGGUAAUUAUGGAUAUCAGCCACUCCUACCCAGAACCGCAGAUGUAGGGUUAUCCAGAGAUGCAAGAUGAAUGCACAAAGCCAUUUGCAUCUGGAAUCCCAGAAGCAGUUUCCUACCAAAUUCCGCCCGAGCUUCCCCCUCCUUCCCAUCCACCCUAAAACAGAGAUUGCCACGGUUUGGCUGAGAAACACUGUCUGUUAAGAAGUUCCCCACCAACAAGUUUUAGGUUGGAGAAUGAGGGGAGCAGCAUGAGGAAAGGGAUUUCUUCCCUGCUGGAUUCUGCAGGGCUACAGACUCCCACUGCUCCUCCGGAGGGAGCGCAGCGAGGGCUCUGUUCUUAGGAGGGAAUGAGGUCUAAUCCUAUUUCUCCAGCUCACUCUGGAGUCCUGUUACUCACUUAGGCACUUUUUAAAUCGACACUAAGAAAAAAAAAAAUAAUUAAAAAAGUACUGCACAUAUUUCACACUUCCUGGGCUUUUACGAGCCUUGGGAAGAUCACAGAGACCAAGGGGGAGACAGCCAAGGCCAUCUGUCAAAAAAACAGUGCUCCCCGUGGACAUAACCCACUUCUAAUUGUCACCCUUUGACAGAACCGCUGUUGAACUAAACCUGGUUUGAAUCUGUCACU